UGGGGACUUCUCAUCGUUGAGAUGACUCUCUGAAAGCGCCCUUCACAUGCAGAGGCACCUUUGUAUUUGGUCUUCCACAGUCCCUAGAAGUCAUUCCGAAGUAUACUCUUGGCUUCUUUUUGCUGUGGCGUAACAUUCUCUAAUGUGACAGCUCACAGACGGGGGCACGUGUACAAGUGGAAGCAGCUCUCAGCUCAGGCCCAAAAUGUCUGUGACUGCCUUGCAGUAGUUCUGGAGAUAGCUGGGGAUGUGCUCAAAGGAGAUGAUGAUACAUGGGAAGAUGACCUGAACCUGUGA
rnacentral:lncRNA from 1 species